CCGGCGACCGGCGCACGGGUGAGUAACACGUAUGGAACCUGCCCGCAGCAGGGGGAUAAGCGGAAGAAAUUCCGUCUAAUACCGCGUAACACCGCGGAGGGGCAUCCCUCGGCGGUUAAAGAUUCAUCGGCUGCGGAUGGCCAUGCGGCGCAUUAGCUAGUCGGCGGGGUAACGGCCCACCGAGGCGACGAUGCGUAGGGGUUCUGAGAGGAAGGUCCCCCACACUGGUACUGAGACACGGACCAGACUCCUACGGAAGGCAGCAG
rnacentral:rRNA from 1 species